rnacentral:rRNA from 1 species
UACGUAGGGGGCAAGCGUUAUCCGGAUUUACUGGGUGUAAAGGGAGCGUAGACGGAUUAGCAAGUCUGAUGUGAAAGGCAGGGGCUCAACCCCUGGACUGCAUUGGAAACUGCCAGUCUUGAGUGCCGGAGAGGUAAGCGGAAUUCCUAGUGUAGCGGUGAAAUGCGUAGAUAUUAGGAGGAACACCAGUGGCGAAGGCGGCUUACUGGACGGCAACUGACGUUGAGGCUCGAAAGCGUGGGGAGCAAACAGGAUUAGAUACCCCGGUCUGACU